GGGCCGAAGAUCGGUCACUCCUCGUUCGCAACGAGGAGGCCAGGGGUUCGAAUCCCCUCAGCUCCA
rnacentral:tRNA from 1 species